rnacentral:rRNA from 1 species
CGGCAACAGCUCAAAUUUGAAAGCUGGCCUUCGGGUCCGCAUUGUAAUUUGUAGAGGAUGCUUUUGGUGCGGUACCUUCCGAGUUCCUUGGAACAGGACGCCUUAGAGGGUGAGAGCCCCGUACGGUUGGAUGCCUAGCCUCUGUAAAGCUCCUUCGAC